AAGAAAACAAUAGUACACUCUAAAGAUAAAAGGCGGUUUUGCAUUGCCAAACACAGCCUUAUAAAAUUGGCGCGUGAGACAUACUCAGAUUCAUUCAAAGACUACAGGGAAGAACCAACUCUACCCUCUCAAAGCCAAAGGCGUGAGUGUUUGUCUAGAAGAACCAAAAUCUAACGAGAUUCUUAUCUUUCAAACCUAUUCCUCACACUUCAAAUCGCGUUUUUUCGUAAACCCUAGAAUCAAUCUCAAAUCAUGAACCCCUACGACAAUAGGUACUCCGAUUCCACUUCUUUUCGCGGCCGUCGCAGUGAUCUCGUUGGACCUAUGCCGCCGCAGAAUUUCGGCCGCGGCGGCCCUGCUCCGUACGGUGCUGCUCCAUAUGCAUCUCAUGCACCGACUGGUUUUGGAUCCGCUCCGGUUACCCCGAUUCCUCACUUUUUACCACCUCCUGGAGGAGGUGGAUUUAGCAUAGGUCGCGGCGGCGGUGGUGGUUUUGGCCCUAGAUUCGGCAACGGUCACGCAAGUGAUAGAAAGUAUGAUUCGGGGCGUGGUGGGAGAGGCGGUGGUAGGGGUGGAGCUCAAGGUUUUAGUGGUGGGAGAGGUCGUGGAGGUGGUGGUGGUAGAGGAGGGAGUGGAGGAAGAGGUGGUGGAUUUGGAGGUAGACAUGGAUCUUCUAAGGAUGAUUUGAACAACAUUACACUUCCAAAGCAAGAUUUUAGAAAUUUGGUUCCUUUUCAGAAAAAUUUCUAUGUUGAAAGUCCUAUGAUACAAGCCAUGUCUGAUCAGCAAGUCAUGCAGUACCGUGCUAGUAGAGAUAUUACAGUUGAAGGGCAUGAUGUGCCAAAACCAAUUCGCGCUUUUCAUGAGGCGAAUUUUCCUGAUUACUGCCUUGACGUUAUUGCCAAGUUGGGUUUUGUUGAGCCUACUCCAAUUCAGGCUCAGGGUUGGCCCAUGGCUCUUACGGGUAGAGAUUUAAUUGGCAUUGCUGAGACUGGCUCGGGUAAAACUUUGUCGUAUCUACUUCCUGCUAUAGUUCAUGUCAGUGCACAACCUCGAUUAGUACAAGGGGAAGGUCCUGUUGUCCUGGUUUUAGCACCAACUAGAGAGUUAGCUGUUCAAAUUCAACAAGAAGCUAUGAAAUUUGGGUCACGAUCAAAUAUUAGAUGUACAUGCAUAUAUGGUGGUGCUCCAAAGGGCCCUCAAAUUCGUGACCUUAGAAUGGGUGUUGAGAUUGUUAUUGCUACACCUGGUCGUCUAAUAGAUAUGUUGGAAGCUCAGCACACAAACCUGCAGAGAGUGACGUACCUUGUCUUGGAUGAAGCUGAUCGAAUGUUGGACAUGGGUUUUGAACCUCAGAUUCGGAAGAUUGUAAACCAGAUUCGACCAGAUAGGCAGACAUUAUACUGGAGUGCAACAUGGCCAAAGGAGGUUGAAUCUCUGGCAAGGCAGUUUCUGCACAACCCAUAUAAGGUAGUUAUUGGGUCACCAUAUCUGAAAGCGAAUCAAUCUAUAAAUCAAGUUGUUGAAGUUGUCACCGACAUGGAGAAAUAUAACAGACUGAUCAAGCUGCUGAAAGAAGUGAUGGAUGGGAGCCGAAUUCUAAUAUUUACAGAAACAAAAAAGGGAUGUGACCAAGUUACUAGACAAUUGAGAAUGGAUGGAUGGCCAGCAUUAUCCAUCCAUGGUGAUAAGAACCAGGCUGAAAGGGAUUGGGUUUUGGCCGAAUUUAAGAGUGGCAGAAGUCCAAUAAUGACUGCCACUGAUGUUGCUGCACGGGGUCUUGGUAGGAUCACUGUGUUUAGAAUCUUAGGAUUUUUGAUAUAAUUCUAGAACUUAACAAUAGGCGAGUUGGCCGGCUGCUUUCCAGUUCCCCUUGACAACAAUUUGUGGUUUGAAUGUGCGUGGGUGGGGGUCAUAUUUUGAGUUUGUUGGAAGUGCCUGUAACUUGACCAGGGGAUUGAUGAGAUGAAAUUGUUUCACUGCUGUCAGUAGACUGCUUGAUGGAGUUAAUUUGGGAACUAUCCUCUUAAAGAUGUCAAGUUAUAUGGAUGCCUAGGCUCUAGGGCAGAGUUCCUUUGAUAUGGCUGGGAUAUUGAUCUCUUCUUUCUGACGUAGUAUCCCAUGUAUGAUCCUGUAUUUCACAGGGCAGGUUAAUGUGUGGCGAUUUACUUGAUUGACAAAACAAGUUAUGGAGCUGGUUAUUUUGCGGUCCGGUUGACUCAUACAUACUUUGUUGAUAAUUGGAUACGGUAGAUGACAGUGAUGGUGAAGCUUCUCCUUAUCCCUUAAAGGUUCAGAUGUGAAGGACAUAAAAUGUGUGGUCAAUUAUGAUUUUCCUUCAAGCCUCGAAGAUUAUGUCCAUAGAAUUGGUCGAACUGGCCGUGCAGGAGCUAAAGGAACUGCAUAUAGUUUUUUUACCAGUGCUAAUGCGAAGUAUGCUAGGGAUUUGAUUAAGAUCUUACAAGAUGCUGGUCAGAUUGUUAGUCCUGCAUUGUCUGCAUUGACUCGGUCUGGUGGUUUUGGUCAACAUGCAUCAAGGGGAGGCUUUCGCUCAAGAGGACGAGGAGGCUAUGGCAAUCGGGGUUCAACAUCAGGAUCCAAUGCCAUUCCUGUAGGCGGGAAGAGGCCAUGGCAGUCUAGGUAGUUGGUGCUAAGUUAGUCAAUUUCUUAAGCUUUGUUUAUUUGGAAGUAGUCACCAGAUACAUACUUUUUAACUAGACACUACAUGUAUUUGCCAGCAUUACAUUUGAAACAACACAUUAGUUGUUAGGUUAUAGGAAGAAAAAAAAGAACCAAUCUUCUAGUGACUGAAGUCAACGAGGAAUGUGCUGUAAAUGAUUGAUGCAUGUAAUUAGUUGGAGUGACCUACAAGGCCUGCUAAUUUUUGAAUUGUUUGUUAUUUACUAUUUACUAUGCCCACCAUUUAAUCAGAUAUUUAACUGACA